UUUGGGUGACGCCCGGAAACUCGUUUUGGCUCCGAAAACCCCGUUUGGUUUGGGGGCGCAUUUUGGAAGACAGCGAACUGGGGUUCCAGUUUCGCUCAAAACCUGGUUUGCCUGCCCCCCCCUGCCUUUAUCAGAUGAAAACCAGGUUUUCAUUGAGCAGCAGCUUUUGGCGGCGGUCUUUCUGUUGAACGACAUGGGUGCUCUGUCCAACGGCUUUCAUUCCAUUAUGAAUGGGUUACGUCAUUGUGUUUAGGAUUUUGCCAGAUAGUUUUUGUUUUUCUGGAUGGUUCCAUCAGAGGUUGCACCAUUUUUUACACUAGCAGAGAAGCUUCGCAAAAUGACAGUGCAGUUAAUGGGUGGAGGGAGUGGCAUGAUAUCUGUGAAAAUUUUCAUUCCAUCUUUUGUCAAUGACCUCAUAAAUUUCUUUGCUGUUCAUGCGUCUUUUUCUGGUUGUAGAUAGAGCUUUUCAUGCCCUUUUUAUUGGUAUGGUGUACAUUGUUUUGACACUGAAAAACAGAGGUUAUUUGUAAUUGAUUAA